AUGAGUCAUCGGGCACCCUGGCCACCCCGACCAGUUCCCCUAUAUUGAUAUUUGGGUUCAGGCUUGUGAGGAUCCCCUGGCUUGGCUCUGGUGCUAUUCUCUUGAAACUGAAACUCAUAUUUUGGUCACAACCCUGAAAAGGCCCAAAGAUCCCACAGCCCAGACUGCCAAGCCGGUCCUCUCACAGGACCCUGAUCCUUUAGACCCUUUAGCCCAUCCCCUAUCUUAUGCAGGUCCUGCAACCUCCUCUCUUUCACCUGGGGUUCAUCCAGGGUCUCGUAAUCCUUUUUCCUCACAGUCUGCCCAGCCCUUGUCACCUCCAUCUCUCUACCCUCCUCUCCCUGAGAAGCCCCAAUCUCUGGACUCUGUGACCUCUCCUUCCCACACCCAUACUGGAGUCAUUUAUGGACCCAGUAAGAGCCCCAUUGGGGAGGCCAGUUCGGCCUCCCUUUUGCCCCUCUGGGAGACAGAGAAAGGAUGAUAUGUUUAUAUCCCAUUUACUACUACUGAUUUGUAUAAUUGGAAACAUCAGAAUCCCCCAUUCUCAGAAAAACCCCAGGCCCUGAUUUCCCUACUAGAAUCUGUUUUCCACUUCCAUGACCCUAUCUGGGAUGACUGCCAGCAACUCUUAUAGGCCCUUUUCAUCUCCGAAGAAAGAGAGCGAAUUUGGGGAUAAGCUGUGAGGUCGAUAUUGGGGGAAAUAGAAGGUCCCUUAGACCAACAACAAUGAGACCGUAUUGAGGCCCAGUUCCCAUCCAAGUGGCCUGGCUGGCAGGCCAACUCCACGGGUGGAAGAGAAGCUCUCCAGAACUACCAUCAGCAUCUCCUGGCCGGGUUUGAGGGGAGCCGCUCGAAAGCCUACCAACUUAAGCAAGGUAAGCGAGGUCCUUCAGGGACCUGAGGAAUCCCCUGCUGCCUUUCUGGAGCACCUACUGGAGGCAUACCAUACGUAUAGUCCAAUUGAUCCAGACACACCCAUAAAUAGCCAGGCAGUCAAUCUGACUUUUGUUACUCAGUCGGCCCCAGAUAUUAAAAGGAAGUUGCAGAAGUUAGACGGAUUUGAGGGAAAGAAUAGGGAGGAACUGAUGAGUGUGGCUAUGAAAAUAUUCGGAAAUCAGGAUCCCCUAGAGGAGAGGAUGGCCAAGAAAUUGGGAAAGGCAACUAUAGCAGCCCUGGCAGAUGGUGGGUUUGUGCAAAAAGGAAAACCAGAAAAGUAAAUGGGAAAUAAAGGGAAAAACUGGCCCCUGUUGGAGAAAGAUCAAUGUGCCUAUUGUAAGGAAAAAGGCCACUACAAGAGAGACUGUGAGAAGCUAAAGAGAAAAAAGGAAAAGGAGGGCCAAGAGGAAAAGGUCCUGUUAGUAGAUGAAGAAGACUGAUGGGGCCAGGGCUCAUGGCCGCUAGACCCCAGUGAGCCUUUGGUCACUCUUGAAGUAGGGGGAACAGAUGUUCAAUUUCUUGUGGACACUGGUGCAGCCCAUUCGGUACUGAAGGUCCCCCUUGGACCCCUCAUUUCCCUAAAAACCUCCAUAACAGGAGCCACAGGGAAAUCAGCCUCUUAUCCAUGGACUUCAAAACGAACAGUGAAUCUGGGGAAGGGCACGGUCACCCACUCAUUUGUGGUCAUCCUCAAAUGCCCAUACCCAUUGGGGGGAAGGGAUUUACUUAGAAAAUUGGGGGCCACUAUCACCUUGAACCAGGAGGAGGAACCUUUGAACUUAAGGCACCCCCCGCAAUCCUGGUGACAGUGCCCCUAGAAGAUGAAUUCAGGCUUACAAGAGACGGAACAGAGCCCCCUAAGGAGGAGUGGGACUAUCUCCAGACAAAAGAUCCCAAGGUUUGGGCCAAAGCCAGUCCUCCUGGUUUGGUGAAACACCAUCCCCCAAUAGUCGUUCAACUACUUGCUUCAGCAACCCCCAUCUGGGUGUGCCAGUAUCCCAUCCAGCUGGAAGCUAAGGUGGGGAUCUUCAAACACAUCCAUCGGCUUCUGGAGGUUGGCAUAUUAGGUCCUUGCCAGUCGGCUUGGAACACCCCUCUGCUCCCUGUAAAGAAGCCUGGAACUUCUGAUUUCAGGCCAGUGCAAGACCUAUGGGAAAUAAAUGCCAGAGUGGAGACCCUCCAUCCCACUGUGCCAAACCCUUAUACCUUAUUGAGCCUUAUCCCGCCUGACCAUAAGUGGUAUACAGUACUAGAUCUAAAAGAUGCUUUUUUUAGCCUCCCCUUGGCUCCAGUAAGCCAACCCCUCUUUGCCUUCGAGUGGAUGGACCCAGACACAGGAUCGACUGGCCAGUUGACAUGGACUCGCCUGCCACAAGGAUUCAAGAAUUCCCCCCCCACCGCCCCAUUCGGGGAGGCUCUGAGCAAGGAUCUACAGGAGGUAAGGAAAACUUCCCCCAAGUAACUAUCCUCCAAUAUGUAGAUGACCUCUUAGUGGCAGGUCCCACCCAUGAGGACUGUUUGGCAGCCACUGAAGGUCUCUUGGAAACCCUCCAGUCCGUAGGCUAUCGUGUAUCCUGGAAGAAAGCCCAUCUUUGCCAGACCAAGGUAAACUACCUGGGAUAUGUUCUCAAGGGAGGGAAGCAAAGACUGGCUGAAUCACAGGGAGCAGCAAUUCUUCAGAUUCCAGAACCAAACAUGAAGAAACAGGUACGUGAAUUCUUGGGGACAGUUGGAUAUUGUAGGAUUUGGAUUCCUAACUUUGCUGAGAUCGCCAAGCCCUUGUAUGAGGCCACUGCAGGGGGAAACAAGCCCCUUGAAUGGAUGGCUACACAUCAACAAGCCUUCCAGGUGCUGAAGGCUGCACUUACCUCAGCACCGGCUCUAGCCUUGCCAGAUUUGAACAAGCCAUUUACUUGUUGACCAUGGAAAUGGUCGAUAGCUUACCUCUCAAAAAGACUGGAUCCUGUGGUGCAGGGCUGGCUGACCUGCUUAUGGACAGUAGCCACAGCAGCCAUUUUAACUCAAGAGGCUGAUAAGUUGACAUUUGGGCAAGACUUAACUCUGAUUACUCCCCAUGCCGUUGAACCCCCGUUGCACAGCUCACCCAGCAGAUGGUUGUCAAAUGCCAGACUGUUACAGUACCAAGGGCUCUUGCUAGAACAGCCACGCAUCAAGUUUGCCACCACUGCUAGCCUCAACCCAGCCACCUUACUCCCCGAGUCCGAUGAACAGAUGCCCAUCCAUGAUUGCCUCGAGACUCUUGAGAACUUGAGAGGAGGGCAUCCGGAUUUGACAGAUCAGGCCCUCCCUCGUGCAGAGGUCACAUUCUACACUGAUGGGUGUAGCUUCAUAUGUGACAGAGUGUGGUAUGCUGAGGGGACAGUGGUCAACCAGAACUGGCAGGUGGAAUGGGAACAAGGGCUAUCCUGGGGGACAUCAGCACAGAAGGCUGAGCUGAUUGCCUUGACCAAGGCUCUAGAACUAGGUAAAGGCAAAAGGAUAAAUAUUUUCACUGACAGCCAUUAUGCCUUUGCCACCGCUCAUGUGCAUGGGGAAAUUUAUCAAAACUGAGGACUGCUAACCUCUGAAGGAAAGACAAUCAAGAAUAAAACAGAGAUAUUGGCAUUGUUAUAAGCCAUUUGGCUGCCCUGAGAGGUUGCUGUCACCCAUUGCCACGGAUAUCAAAAGGGGACCAACCUGGAGGUAGUUGGCAACAAUGCAGCUGAUCUGGCUGCAAGACAAGCUGCCCCAAAAUCAGUGGGGAAACAAAUGGUUCUGCUCCCCACACCAGUGCUACCAGAGAAACCAGAAUACACAGAUGAAGAGACAACAGAAAUGGCCAAGAAGCAAUGGACCCAAGGUAAACAUGGGUGGUGGACAACCAAUGAUGGAAAGGUGGUGCUCCCAGCUGCUGUAGCAGACACGCUGCUACAAGAACUGCAUGAGUCCACUCACCUUGGCGAGAAAAAGAUGAUGGCCACCCUGAGGCCCCAUUUCAUCAUCAAGGGAAUGGCACAAAAAGCCACGGACAUGGUGAGAUGAUGCCGCACCUGUAUCAAGGUUUGAUUCCCAGACCUUGGAACCCCACUGGAAGGGACAGUUUCCUGUCGUCCUGGUGACUCCCUCAGCUGUGAAGGUGGCUGGACAUUCGGCCUGGAUACAUCACAGUCAUCUGAAGGCAGUGCCACCCCAACCCCAGCCUCAGGAUGGCAAGUCAUUCGACAAACAAAGGACCCCUUAAAGAUAAGAUUAAUCAAGGACUGAGAUGGGUAAUGUGGGGACUUAUGGGAUCCUUGGUUCUGUCGGCCCAAGUAAAAGGAAAUGUUCAACAGCUGGUGCUCUCCAGCCAUAACUCCCAGAGCUGGAUGUGGUCUCUAAAAAAUUCACUUACCGGAGCCCUAAUUGUUACUGUUACAACAGAUCAACAGCCUGUUUUUCAGGUAGACCUGUUGGCCCUAGGGUUUCCCAAGGUUUAUUUUGUUGGGAGGGGCCCGAACACUAUAGGACCGAAUUUCCGAACAAUUGGCCUAUACGCAUGCCCCAUAGGAAAGGAUCCCAACUGUGGUGGUGGGCCGGGAUAUCACGGUUAUUAGUGGGGCUGUGAGUCAAUAGCCCCGUGGGUAAACAAUGAUCCCUUUUUGGCUAUAACUCGGCCUACAAACCCAACGUGUAACCCAGGAAACUGUGAACCUGUAGAACUUAGACUAAAACAAUGGCAGAACCCCUACAAAGAUUGGGAAAAGGGAAAGGCAUGGAUGCUAGCGCUGUAUGUCACUGGAAAAGACCCUAUGACAGACAUCAUCAUCCAGCGAAGUCUAGUAGUGGUACCACCCAAACUGGUGGGCAACAUUUAUAGAACAUUGAACCCCCAGAAACAGGUAACCAGCCCCAGACGUGCAGGGGGGGUUCCUCCUGCUCAUCGCGGAGUGGGGACACAUGUGCCCGCCAUGCCACCAUGACAGCCAGCCACCCAGGUAGCAUCCUACCCAACAAUGCCCCCGAGUCACCAACCCAGCUGUACUUAAAGAUGCUGGAUGCUAUGUAUAAAGUGUUUAAUGGGUCUGACUAUAAUGUCACUAAUGAAUGUUGGAUGUGUCUGAACCCAAAGCCCCCGUACUAUGUAGGAAUAGCAAUCAAUGGAACCUACACUGAAACAGGCCAGGAUGGGUGCAACUGGAAACAGCCGAAGUUGUCAAUAGGGGAUAUACAUGGAAGAGGGUCAUGUGUUAAAAACCCCAAUGUCACCUCAUCUUACUUGGAUGAAGCCUGCGUUUAUCAGACGACUUCUGCAGGAUGUGAUCAAGAGCAGAAAACAAUUCAUGGUGGGCAUGCACAGGAGGUAUAACCCCUUGCCUCUCUGUUGCUGUCCUGCAAAGGGAACCCGAAGUUUGUGUGCUCGUCCAUGUUUUGCCCCAGGUGGUUGUGUAUGGUGGGGAACAGGGUUGGGAAUAUUUGACCAAGAAAGCCCAUACUAGGGAGAAAUGCCACCCUGACCUCAUUCCAGUACUGACUAUAGGAAAAAUUGUAGGAUCCGCAGCUCUAGGAGCAGCAGCAUUAGGUAUACAGGACUCCAACUUUAAGACCCUAACUCAAGAAGUAAGGAUAGACUUGGGUCUGAUCACUAAAUCAGUAUCUCACCUAAAAAAAAAAAGUGGAUUCCUUGGCGGAAAUGGUCCUCCAGAACUGCUGAGGUCUCGACCUCCUGUACAUGAAGGAGGACGGGCUGUGUACAGCCUUGGGAGAACAGUGCUGUUAUUAUGUCAAUAAAUCAGGGGUUAUUCGAGAUACCUUGGCUACAGUAAACAAACAUUUACAAGAGAAGUAUUACAGGUUAAAAAAUAAUUCUGGGUGGUAUCAGUCUUUGUUUAACUGGUCUCCCUGGUUGACUACCCUUGUGUCCACCCUGGCAGGACCCUUGAUGAUCCUGUUGCUGGCACUAACCUUCGGGCCAUGAAUUAUCAACAAGCUCAUGGCCUAUACGUGGGCCCAAGUAGGGUCCGUUCACCUCAUGGUUCUAAAUCAACAAGCCAGUUAUAACACAUUGCUGCUAAAAAAACAAAAAGAAAACAGUGUGUAGGAUUACUUGCUUGGAUAAAAUCAGUGGGGAAUGUAAGACCUGGAUAAGAUUUAGCAUAAGUAGAGCCAUUUUGUUGUAAAACCUCCAUUUUGUCCCCAUGAGUUUCGGGUUCACUGAAAGGACACAGAGUUCCCGGAAUGUACUUGUUUAUCUGUUAAGAAAUCAUGAAAUGUACCAAUGCUUGCUGUGUAAAGAACAUCCUGCUAGUUGAAUAAAGAAAUCUGGAAACUCCCCUAA